GACCCCUACGCGAGCCGGACUUCACCCCCGACUUUGACUGAAGGAAGACUCCAUCCGAACUCCUACAGGAGAUGGACUUCGUUUCUGACUCCAGCUACAGACUCCAACCAAACUUCAGCCGACAAGUCUGGACUCCCUGGCAGGUCGUAGUAACGGCCACGAUUCUGCUCCACUUCCUACGGCAGAUCCUAUGCGGCUCCAUUACUCCCUGCGGC
rnacentral:lncRNA from 1 species